UUUUUUAUCUAAGACUACAUGUCAAAAUUACCAAAUGUUUGACAUCCAAUAGCCGAUUAUUAAUAAAUCAAUGUGCUCUAGUGAUGUCGUUAAACAAAACAAACUUUUAAAAUAUGUAGAUAGGGAGCCUUAUGGGUGUGAGCGUCCGGUGUACCAGAUACAUACGCAUUCACGCAGGCACGCACGCACGUACGCACGCAAACACACACUACCUGAACCAAUCCUGUUGUAGUAUCUGUCCUUACGAUUUGUCAGUGGUCCAGGAACCUAUUCACACUGGCCAGUUAUUCAACAAUACACCCAUGCCUCAAAAGUUAAUGCGUUAUAUUAAAAAAAUGUCAUGGACAAAAUCGCCCAGAUGAUCUAACAUUAAAAAUAUAAAUCAUAUCCAAUUACUAGAAAUAGAAUAAAUGUGCACUAUAGAACGUAUGACAAUUAAGAACUGUAGACUGUAAUUAAUGAAAUCUGACCCGGAAGUGAAUAGUGAAUUGUAUAAUAAGACCAGAACAAAAUAAUAAUACAUGUAUUGAUAGAAUAUAUCACCACCAUUGUGAUGAUCAUGAUGGUGAUGAUGAAGAUGACGAUGAUGAAGAUGAAGAUGAUAAUGAUGAUGAUGAUUAUGAUAGUUUAGGCUUAUUGCUAAAGCUCGCUCCAAAGAUAGAUUUUUCUUGAGACCCGUGUCAGAAAAACAUCAAUAAAAGAAUUCGUCCUAGAAACUAUCAUUCUAUUGUCUAUGACGUCAUUCGGUUUCCAAAGUAAAACUUAUGAUAUAUACUACCACUUAAGGAACUUAAUUUACAUAUUACCACUUAGUCUGUGAAGAUUGUUCAACAAAUUUAAUGAAGUUUAAAGAUGCUUAAAAGAUGGAUCAUGAGUUUUGUUCUAAGGAGGUCUUAGCCCGUACAUAAGUCUAUUCAGUUUGACAGAACGUGGGCUGCAGAAAAAUUGCAGCUCCGACUCCUCAUGCUGGAUGAGAAGUACCGCAGUGAGGUUAUGUACCAGCAGGUGGACGCAUUCGAGGACAAGGUUCUUCUCAGCAGCA
rnacentral:misc_RNA from 1 species